CUUAACAAUAAAGACUGGAAUGAAUUUGUUCUAACUCGUCUUACCCCUGAAUUUCUGGCUUUGAGUGAAGCGCAAGUCGCCAGAGCCAGGAUGAAUCUAUCUCAUCAUCGUUCAUCUCGUAGAGGCAUGCCCAACGUCGAACAAGAUUUG